rnacentral:rRNA from 1 species
UACGAACCGUCCAAACGUUAUUCGGAAUUACUGGGCUUAAAGGGUGCGUAGGCGGCCCGGGAAGUUGGGUGUGAAAUCCCUCGGCUUAACCGAGGAAUUGCGCCCAAAACUGCCGGGCUUGAGGAAGAUAGAGGUGAGCGGAACUUAGGGUGGAGCGGUGAAAUGCGUUGAUAUCCUAAGGAACACCGGUGGCGAAAGCGGCUCACUGGGUCUUUUCUGACGCUGAGGCACGAAAGCUAGGGGAGCGAAC